rnacentral:rRNA from 1 species
GAAGCGGCAACAGCUCAAAUUUGAAAUCUGACCCUCUGGGGUCCGAGUUGUAAUUUGCAGAGGGUGUUUCGGGCACGGUGCCGGUUUAAGUCCUUUGGAACAGGGUGUCAUAGAGGGUGAGAACCCCGUAUGUGACCGGUCGCCAAACCUAUGUGAAACCCCUUCGACGAGUCGAGUUGUUUGGGAAUGCAGCUCAAAAUGGGUGGUAAAUUUCAUCUAAAGCUAAAUAUUGGCCAGAGACCGAUAGCGCACAAGUAGAGUGAUCGAAAGAUGAAAAGCACUUUGGAAAGAGAGUCAAACAGCACGUGAAAUUGUUGAAAGGGAAGCGCUUGCGACCAGACCUGCUCGCGGGUGAUCAGCGGUGCUUUUCGCGCCGUGCACUCAUCCGCGAUCAGGCCAGCAUCGGUUCAGGCGGCCGGACAAAGACUCGGAGAAUGUAGCUCCCUCCGGGGAGUGUUAUAGCUCCUUGUGCAAUACGGCCAGCCGGGACCGAGGACCGCGCUUCGGCUAGGAUGCUGGCGUAAUGGUCGUAAGCGACCCGUCUUGAAACACGGACCAAGGAGUCUAACAUCUGUGCGAGUGUUUGGGCGUUAAACCCAUGCGCGCAAUGAAAGUGAACGUGAGGUGGGAACCCUCUCGGGGGCGCACCAUCGACCGAUCCAGAUGUCUUCGGAUGGAUUUGAGUAAGAGCACAGCUGUUGGGACCCGAAAGAUGGUGAACUAUGCCUGAAUAGGGUGAAGCCAGAGGAAACUCUGGUGGAGGCUCGCAGCGGUUCUGACGUGCAAAUCGAUCGUCAAAUUUGGGUAUAGGGGCGAAAGACUAAUCGA